CCUACGGGAGGCAGCAGUGAGGAAUAUUGGUCAAUGGACGAGAGUCUGAACCAGCCAAGUAGCGUGAAGGAUGACUGCCCUAUGGGUUGUAAACUUCUUUUAUAUGGGAAUAAAAUGUUCCACGUGUGGGAUUUUGUAUGUACCAUAUGAAUAAGGAUCGGCUAACUCCGUGCCAGCAGCCGCGGUAAUACGGAGGAUCCGAGCGUUUUCCGGAUUUAUUGGGUUUAAAGGGAGCGUAGGUGGUUUGUUAAGUCAGUUGUGAAAGUUUGCGGCUCAACCGUAAAAUUGCAGUUGAAACUGGCAGUCUUGAGUACAGUAGAGGUGGGCGGAAUUCGUGGUGUAGCGGUGAAAUGCUUAGAUAUCACGAAGAACUCCGAUUGCGAAGGCAGCUCACUGGACUGCAACUGACACUGAGGCUCGAAAGUGUGGGGAUCAAACAGGAUUAGAUACCCCGGUAGUC
rnacentral:rRNA from 1 species